GAUGAACGCUGGCGGCGUGCCUAAUACAUGCAAGUCGAGCGAACAGACGAGGAGCUUGCUCCUCUGACGUUAGCGGCGGACGGGUGAGUAACACGUGGAUAACCUACCUAUAAGACUGGGAUAACUUCGGGAAACCGGAGCUAAUACCGGAUAACAUGUUGAACCGCAUGGUUCAACAGUGAAAGACGGUCUUGCUGUCACUUAUAGAUGGAUCCGCGCCGCAUUAGCUAGUUGGUAAGGUAACGGCUUACCAAGGCAACGAUGCGUAGCCGACCUGAGAGGGUGAUCGGCCACACUGGAACUGAGACACGGUCCAGACUCCUACGGGAGGCAGCAGUAGGGAAUCUGCCGCAAUGGGCGAAAUCCUGACGGAGCAACGCCGCGUGAGUGAAGAAGGUCUUCGGAUCGUAAAACUCUGUUAUUAGGGAAGAACAAAUGUGUAAGUAACGAUGCACGUCUUGACGGUACCUAAUCAGAAAGCCACGGCUAACUACGU
rnacentral:rRNA from 1 species